rnacentral:lncRNA from 1 species
CAGAGGCCGUUCUGAGCAACCUCUCCUUCCUCGAGCAGAAGAUCCACCAGGUGCAGCACGCCGUCCGCUCCAUCAUGUCCCCGGAGGAGCAAUCCGUCGCCGGCGGCACGCACGAACUGGCGAUGAAGCAGCAGCUCAUGGCGGCUGAUCUGACCUCCAUCAUCAUCCAGCUCAUCUCCACCGCCGGAACCCUACUCCCCUCCCUCACCGGGGGCUCCUCCAUCACCGGCUCCUCCGCCGGCCUUCUCAGCUCUCCCCCAGCCCUCGCCGGCUUCAACGCCGCCGCCGCCGCCGCCGCCGCCGGCGAACCGACCGCGGUGGAAGAUCAUCACGACGAGAAGGACGGCGAGGGGGAUGGCGACGGCGAGGGAGACGGCGACGGCGAGAGCCUCCUUGCCGGAACCUACGAAGUGCUGCAGCUGGAGAAGGAGGAAAUCUUGGCCCCCCACACCCACUUCUGCCUGAUCUGCGGCAAGGGUUUCAAGAGGGACGCCAACCUGAGGAUGCACAUGAGAGGCCACGGCGACGAGUACAAGACGCCGGCGGCGCUGGCCAAGCCGCCGGGGGCGGGGAAGGAGCAGAGCUCCGAGCAGGGCCCCCU